CGUUCCCGGGUCUUGUACACACCGCCCGUCACACCACGAAAGUCGGCAACACCCGAAGCCGGUGGCCUAACCCGCAAGGGAGGGAGCCGUCGAAGGUGGGGCUGGCGAUUGGGGUG
rnacentral:rRNA from 1 species